rnacentral:rRNA from 1 species
AGCUCGUGUCGUGAGAUGUUGGUUAAGUCCCGCAACGAGCGCAACCCUUGUCCUAUGUUGCCAGCGGGUCAUGCCGGGGACUCAUGGGAGACUGCCGGGGUCAACUCGGAGGAAGGUGGGAUGACGUCAAAUCAUCAUGCCCCUUAUGUCUUGGGCUUCACGCAUGCUACAAUGGCCCGGUACAAAGGGCUGCGAUACCGCGAGGUGGAGCGAAUCCCAGAAAGCCGGUCUCAGUUCGGAUUGGGGUCUGCAACUCGACCCCAUGAAGUCGGAGUCGCUAGUAAUCGCAGAUCAGCAACGCUGCGGUGAAUACGUUCCCGGGCCUU